GUUGUAUAGUCAAGUAAUUAAGUGCAUGUGGUGGAUGCUUGGCAGUCAGAGGCGAUGAAAGACGUGAUAGCCUGCGAAAAGCUCCGGGGAGGCGGCAAAUAUCCUUUGAUCCGGAGAUGUCUGAAUGGGGGAACCCACCUACUUUAAGGUAGGUAUUGCAACAUGAAUACAUAGUGUUGCAAGGCGAACGAGGGGAAGUGAAACAUCUCAGUACCCUUAGGAAAAGAAAUCAAUUGAGAUUCCCUCAGUAGCGGCGAGCGAACGGGGAUCAGCCCAUUAAGUUAUGUGUGUUUUAGUGGAACGCUCUGGGAAGUGCGAACGUAGAGGGUGAUAUUCCCGUACACGAAAGGGCACACAUAAUGAUGACGAGUAGGGCGAGGCACGUGAAACCUUGUCUGAAUAUGGGGGGACCAUCCUCCAAGGCUAAAUACUCCUGACUGACCGAUAGUGAACCAGUACCGUGAGGGAAAGGCGAAAAGAACCCCUGUGAGGGGAGUGAAAUAGAUCCUGAAACCGCAUGCAUACAAGCAGUGGGAGCACCUUCGUGGUGUGACUGCGUACCUUUUGUAUAAUGGGUCAGCGACUUAUAUUCAGUAGCGAGGUUAACCGUAUAGGGGAGCCGUAGAGAAAUCGAGUCUUAAUAGGGCGUUUAGUUGCUGGGUAUAGACCCGAAACCAGGCGAUCUAUCCAUGAGCAGGUUGAAGGUUGGGUAACACUAACUGGAGGACCGAACCCACUGUCGUUGAAAAGCCAGGGGAUGACUUGUGGAUAGGGGUGAAAGGCUAAUCAAGCCUGGUGAUAGCUGGUUCUCCCCGAAAGCUAUUUAGGUAGCGCCUCGGACGAAUACCAUAGGGGGUAGAGCACUGUUUCGGCUAGGGGGUCAUCCCGACUUACCAAACCGAUGCAAACUCCGAAUACCUAUGAGUACUAUCCGGGAGACAGACUGCGGGUGCUAACGUCCGUAGUCAAGAGGAAAACAAUCCAGACCGCCAGCUAAGGCCCCAAAAUCAUAGUUAAGUGGGAAACGAUGUGGGAAGGCAUAGACAGCUAGGAGGUUGGCUUAGAAGCAGCCACCCUUUAAAGAAAGCGUAAUAGCUCACUAGUCGAGUCGGCCUGCGCGGAAGAUGUAACGGGGCUAAAACUAUGUGCCGAAGCUGCGGAUGUAUACUUUGUAUACGUGGUAGGGGAGCGUUCUGUAAGCCGAUGAAGGUGUGUUGAGAAGCAUGCUGGAGGUAUCAGAAGUGCGAAUGCUGACGUGAGUAACGACAAAACGGGUGAAAAACCCGUUCGCCGAAAGACCAAGGGUUCCAGUCCAACGUUAAUCGGG
rnacentral:rRNA from 1 species